rnacentral:rRNA from 1 species
GACGAACGCUGGCGGCGUGCUUAACACAUGCAAGUCGAACGAAAAGAGGGAAAGAGCUUGCUCUUUCCGGAAUUGAGUGGCAAACGGGUGAGUAACACGUAAACAACCUGCCUUCAGGAUGGGGACAACAGACGGAAACGACUGCUAAUACCGAAUAAGUUCCAAGAGCCGCAUGGCCCAUGGAAGAAAAGGUGGCCUCUACCUGUAAGCUAUCGCCUGAAGAGGGGUUUGCGUCUGAUUAGCUGGUUGGAGGGGUAACGGCCCACCAAGGCGACGAUCAGUAGCCGGUCUGAGAGGAUGAGCGGCCACACUGGAACUGAGACACGGUCCAGACUCCUACGGGAGGCAGCAGUGGGGAAUCGUCCGCAAUGGGCGAAAGCCUGACGGAGCAACGCCGCGUGAGUGAUGACGGCCUUCGGGUUGUAAAACUCUGUGAUCCGGGACGAAAAGGCAGAGUGCGAAGAACAAACUGCAUUGACGGUACCGGAAAAGCAAGCCACGGCUAACUACGUG